AACAGAAUUGCUGGGUCAUAUGGUAAUGCUAUGUUUAACUUUUUGAGGAACAGCCGAACUGUUUUCCAAAGUGGUUGUACCAUUUUGUAUUCCCAUCAGCGGU
rnacentral:pre_miRNA from 2 species